rnacentral:rRNA from 1 species
UACGGGAGGCAGCAGUGGGGAAUAUUGCACAAUGGGCGCAAGCCUGAUGCAGCCAUGCCGCGUGUAUGAAGAAGGCCUUCGGGUUGUAAAGUACUUUCAGUCGUGAGGAAGGUGUUAAGGUUAAUAACCUUAGCAAUUGACGUUAGCGACAGAAGAAGCACCGGCUAACUCCGUGCCAGCAGCCGCGGUAAUACGGAGGGUGCGAGCGUUAAUCGGAAUUACUGGGCUAAAGGGCACGCAGGCGGUUAAUUAAGUUGGAUGUGAAAUCCCCGGGCUUAACCUGGGAAUGGCAUUCAAGACUGGUUAGCUAGAGUCUUGUAGAGGGGGUAGAAUUCCAUGUGUAGCGGUGAAAUGCGUAGAGAUGUGGAGGAAUACCGGUGCGAAGCGGCCCCUGGACAAGACUGACGCUCAUGUGCGAAAGCGUGGGGAGCAAACAGGGAUUAGAUACC